UGAAAUGUGUCUAAUACAUCAGCAAUUUCCUCCGUUUUAGGAAGAUCAGGGCCAAAAAGGGGACGCUUGCCUCUGAGCUCAGAUAAGAGCCAUUCCUGCCUGCAUUCCUCAGACCAUUCUCGAUAAGAUCCAAUCCCCAAAUGAUUUGUAAUAGCAUCAAGAACAUCAGUAUGCCUGUCAGAUUCCUGUCGGAUAUCAAGUCUUACAAGGGAAAGCCCAAAGGUAGAAACUUGCCGUAGGAAAUCAAGAAGGCUUCCAUCUGCAAUAGGUCGAUCACCACAAGCACAGAGUGAUCUGUAACAGAGUUCAAGAGGCUGCAAGAACUGCUCAACAUUAGUAAAAGUCGCUUCCUCAGGAAUGUCAGAAAUACCAUUGACUAAUAAAUGACGAGAGCGUUCACGUGUAUUAUAAAGUUUGUCCCUCACAUCACCGAGAAUAACACGAUAAGGUUCACUUGGAGGAAUCUGUUUCCAAAAUUCUAUGUAGUGUUUUGCAUCUUUCCUUGAAGACCGAUGAAGUUCAUCCGCAUGAACACGAAGUUCGUCAUUGCAUCGCCACAUUGACAACUCAAACAUAAGAUCCUCUAUUUGGGAGAAAUAUAAGUUGGCAGCCAUCAUUCUAGCCAGUAAGCAAACAUCCCUUGUAACUUCAGGAGUUACUCGAGGAUUUCCAUCACGAUCACCACCCAUCCAAGAAGAGAAUUGGAUGAGAGGAGCAUUAUAAGGUAGACGUUCAUUUAUCCCAAGAUUCUUCAAAGCUGUGUCGACACGGCGCAAGAAUUUUGGGACACCCUUCCAAAUUGUCUCAUGGAAGUAGCUCAUUCCAGCUCUCAUCUCAUCUUGAGGAGUUGGAGGAGUCCUUCGGAUUUCAUCUGUGCGGAAUGCAGCUUGGAUCUCCCUUUGUAAGGCCUCAUCAAGUUCCUGCUUAUCAUCUGGAGUAAUGUCCUUAGCAUACAACUGGGUCAAACAAUUCCGUAUCCUUGCAUGCUUUUGAAGCAAAGAUCUACGAACAGAUUGAGUGGGAUGUGCGGUUAAGACUAAAUCAACUGUCUGGUUCUUCAGAGCAUCAAAAACUUCUUCUGGGGACUUCU
rnacentral:misc_RNA from 1 species